rnacentral:lncRNA from 1 species
GUUUGGUUUGCCAUCACUUUUUGUGACUUUUCUGACAUCUGCAAGUGUCGGAAGUGUGACCUGAAACAUUUAAGGACACUUCUGCCUGAACCAUGGGCAGAUGUUUAGACUCCAAGAUACAGAGGAGGAGGGUCUUGGAGGUUUCUUAGUAUAAGUUCCUCCCUGUGGUACUUGCAGUUCCUACAAGGGGCUGUCAGAGAAACAAGCCGGAGCAGAAGAGCAAGACAUGGUCCUGGUGCAUGAAAGGAGCCUAAGAAAGAAGAGUGAAAGCUGCACGUGUUCUACCUCCAGAAAGCCAUAAAAGAGAAAAGAAUGUUGUACCAAACUAAGCAAAUGAAGCAUGAAAUGAAAAGCCGGUUGAGCUGGGAGGUAUAAAGAAUGGAAAGGAAGCAGCUACCACCCCUGGUAACCCCAUCAAUCCGGAGAAGCUUCGCAGAGUUACACUGUGCUCUGUCGGGUAAGAUAUCUUAAAAGCCCACACGCUCCCAAGUUCCUCCUUUGCCCGUGUAUAGUGGUACCUGACACCCUCA